GACGAACGCUGGCGGCGUGCUUAACACAUGCAAGUCGAACGGAAAGGCCUGCUUUCCCUUGUGGAUUGCGGGUACUCGAGUGGCGAACGGGUGAGUAACACGUGAGUGAUCUGCCCCCAACUUGGGUAUAAGCCUGGGAAACUGGGUCUAAUUCCCGAUAGGACUGCAGGGUGGUGCCUGUGGUGGAAAACGAUUUUCUAGUGGUUGGGGGUGAGCUCGCGGCCUAUCAGCUUGUUGGUGGGGUAAUGGCCUACCAAGGCGGCGACGGGUAGCCGGCCUGGGAGGGUGGACGGCCACAUUGGGACGGAGAUACGGCCCAGACUCCUACGGGAGGCAGCAGUGGGGAAUAUUGCACAAUGGGCGGAAGCCUGAUGCAGCGACGCCGCGUGGGGGAUGACGGCCUUCGGGUUGUAAACUCCUUUCGACCGCGAGGAAGCCACCUGGUUGGAAGGGUGGUGACGGUAGUGGUAGAAGAAGCACCGGCUAACUACGUG
rnacentral:rRNA from 1 species